UUCACUGCCACCAGAGAGGAUGUUUGCAGGUUUGAAGUUUUAUGCAUAGUCAUGGGAGAAUAUAACUUCGUAGGAUUUGAUCAUCAUGAUGCUAUAUGUGUUAACCCUUAACAAAGGUUAACAACUGAUGAUGUUCUAGGUAUGUCAUCAUGUCGAUAUUUUUUUGGAAAUGAAAACUUGCUGGAAGAUAAAGUUUGAAAUGAUGAUUUGUCUGUAGCUCAUUCUAUUUUUCCAAAUAGUUGAUCAGAUGUCUUUUUAUAGUCUCAAACCCGAAGAGGUUACUUCCUUCACCAGAUUCUUUUUCACAACUUG
rnacentral:lncRNA from 1 species